GGGGGUGAAUGGGAGCCGAUUCAAAUUUUCUCCAAGACCUUCAGCUAAAACCCCCAAGCCUGUCUUCUAGCAAAAUCAAGUCCACUUAGCUAUGCAAAAGCUAAUGGACAUAGGAAUGAUGCUAGGAACCCAAUUUGAGAAUAGCGGAAGUAAGAAAGACUCCAAACAAGCUCUGGAAAAUAAACUUUGAAAACCAACACCUCUGUGCGGAAAAAUCUAGAGGAACCUUCAGAAAUUUCCGGAGGUCCGGAGAUUUUCGGAAUUAUAUCCGGACAUUUCCGGAAUUCUAAAACAGCCUAUAUGAAGAUGGAAGAAAAAUCCGAAACUCAACCAAACGACCUCCAAAAAUCACGAAAUUUUAACCAUAGCUUCCAAUAAACAUAUCAAACAUAUUCCAAAAAUAUAUCCUCAAAAAGAUUAGCCAAACAAAGGGAAUUAAAAAUCUUGUGAAGAACACCGCUUUUUCAACCCUAGAAUUUGAAUCGCCCCGAUCUAUGAAAUCGUGAGGAGUUAGAUGAAUUCCUUUCAUAGAAAGACUUCACUCACAUCCUAGUUCAUCUCUACCCCUAUAGCUACUACUAAGAUAACUACCC
rnacentral:lncRNA from 1 species